UUUUCACCUGGUUAUCGUCGAAGAUUAAAUUUAAAUUGAUUGCUGAGGAUACUAAAUUUAGAAGAGUGCAAUUCUCAAACCGUAUUAAAGAUGCUUUGUCAAGAAAUAAAGUAGUAAGGGAAAGAGUGUUUCCAGUUUGCUUUCCUUCAAAAAGUUCUUAUACUGGUCAUUUUACUAGAGAUUCUCCAGACUUAACCCCAAAAAAAAAACAGAAAAGUAAAAACCUUACUUCUUCAUUCUACACAUUCUCAGAGAGAGGUUGCAAGUGUUUCAAAGUCAGUAGUGAGUCGAAUUAAAAAAAAAUAAUACAAAUGUGACUCAAGAACCAGACCAUGUCAGCAAAAGUGGCAGAAAAGGAUCACUACUCCAUGUUAUGACCGUAAAUUUAAAGACAUCUGUCUUGAAAACAGAAAAAAAAGUUUGGCUCAACUAGCUAUAAUUAUAAACAAUGAAGGAAUUAACGUCUCCAAAAGGACAGUUCAGGGACGGUUGGUUGAAGAGAAUUUAGUGUGUUAUCGUCC